CACGUAGGGUGCGAGCGUUGUCCGGAAUUAUUGGGCGUAAAGAGCUCGUAGGCGGUGUGUCGCGUCGGCCGUGAAAACCUGCAGCUUAACUGUGGGCGUGCGGUCGAUACGGGCAUCACUGGAGUUCGGCAGGGGAGACUGGAAUUCCUGGUGUAGCGGUGAAAUGCGCAGAUAUCAGGAGGAACACCGGUGGCGAAGGCGGGUCUCUGGGCCGAUACUGACGCUGAGGAGCGAAAGCGUGGGGGAGCAAACAGG
rnacentral:rRNA from 1 species